CGUUGCGUCGCCGCUCCCGGCCCUCUACGGCGCCGGCGAAAUAGGGCUUAGGUUCGCCUCGCCACCCCCUACAACCUGUGCCUGUUCGAUUUGACCCUCGAGGUCCCUCUCGCUCGCCCACGACCCUACCAUGACGUCGACUCCGCCUGAGUUCCGGCCGAUGUCGGUCGCCUCUAGCGCUGCCACACGCCGCUGCUCGCCUACACGGACUCCCCAAGGUCUCCUCCACCGACUUCCCUUCACCGCGAUGCCGCCAUGUACCUGCGCGCACCCCCACGGCUAACCCUAACCCAUCCUGGCUAGGUCACCGAUGCGGCUCCCGCGUACCUGAGCCUCCGUGUCGCUGUCUAGGUCGCCGAUGCGGCUCUGUCGCUGGCGCGAUCCUGGCGCCGCCGCGCCUCCUUCUGCUCCACUACGUCAUCUACGACCUCUUCCUCGACCCUCGGGCUCCUGCUCCUCUGUCUCGAGAUCAUGGGCCUAAUGCAGAGCAAGUUCGAGGGCGAAUCUAUCAUCGUCAUGUACGCCUUCGCGCUCCCCGUUGAGGAAACCGAGACCAGGGUCAACGUCCAGGCAGACGCAUACGAAUACAUGGUCGAGUACUCCACCAUCAACAAGCAGUGAUUGCAGGUGAGGAAGCUGGGGUCGCAGGGUGUCUCCAGGGUCGAGAUGUAGAAGAGUGAGAUGCUGCAGGAGGCCAACAUCUCCAACUUCAAGUCACAAUUGCAAAGCUCACAGGUAACUAUUGUUGUCGCUGCUGUACCUAAGGGACUACCGCUGGCUGUAACACUUAUUUCUGGGAAGCCUUGGCGCAGUGGUAAGAGCUGCUGCCUUGUGACCAGGAGGUCACGGGUUCAAGUCAUGGAAACAGCCUCUUGCAAAAAUUGCAAGGAAAGGCUGCGUACAAUGACCCAAUGUGGUCCGACCCCUCCCCGGACCCCGAACAAAGCGGGAGCUUCAUGCACUGGGCUGCCCUUUUUUAUCUGGAUACUACCAUGAAUAAUGUACACACUCAUUCCUGAUCAGCUUCUAGGUUUCUGACAUUGACUUGCAGAUUACAGAAGCAGAAUUGGACAAUAUAAAUGCAGGAAUUGCGAGAAAUAUGGAGAAAGAAAUAUGGGAAAAGGAACCUGGAGAUGUGAAGUCAUGCAAGAAGAGAAGAAUUAGUAACCCCGCAUGGUACUAUGCUGAAGGCUGGGAUCAACUGAAGGUGAUGCUGAUCACAUUGUGAAGGUGUCUGAAUAGGAAACAUAGUGAUGAUGUUGACAGAGUGUACAUAGUGAGACAUAGUGAUAUACUGUGCCGUGUGUGCAACUGAUAUUGUAUGAUAAUUGCAGGAUAAAGUGCACUGGAUAUAUUAAUGUGUU